GACGAACGCUGGCGGCGUGCCUAAUACAUGCAAGUCGAACGCAGUGGGGACGGGUGAGUAACACGUGGGUAACCUCCCAUCAGAGGGGAUAACACUUGGAAACAGGUGCUAAACCGAUACUGAUGGAUGAACCCGCGGUGCAUUAGCUAGUUGUUGAGGUAACGGCUCACCAAGGCCACGAUGCAUAGCCGGUCUGUGAGGGUGAUAGGCCACACGGGGACUGAGGCAGGGCCCAAGCUCCUACGGAGGCCAGCAGUAGGGAAUCUUCGGCUAUGGACGAAAGUCUGACCGGGCAACGCCGCGAGAGUGACGAAGGUUAUCGAAUCGUAAAACUCUGUUGUUCGAGAAGCGGUAUCUAACCAGAAAGCCGCGGCUAACUUCGUGCCAGCAGCCGCGGUAAUUC
rnacentral:rRNA from 1 species